rnacentral:rRNA from 1 species
GGCGGCGUGCUUAAUGCAUGCAAGUCGAACGGAGACUGUAGCAAUACUGUCUUAGUGGCGAACGGGUGAGUAACGCGUUGGUGACCUGCCCCGAAGAGGGGGAUAACAGUCCGAAAGGAUUGCUAAUACCCCAUGUGGUCGUUUGGAUUAGAUGCCUUACGACUAAACGGAUUUACUCGCUUCGGGAGGGGCCUGCGUCCCAUCAGCUAGUUGGUAGGGUAAUAGCCUACCCAAGGCGAUGACGGGUAGGGGACCUGAGAGGGUGGCCCCCCACAAUGGGACUGAAACACGGUCCAUACACCUACGGGUGGCAGCAGUAGGGAAUAUUGGUAAUCUGGGAAACCGGGAACCAGCAACGCCGCGUGCGCGAUGAAGGCCUUCGGGUUGUAAAGCGCUUUUUAAAGGGAUGAGGAAGGACAGUACCUUUAGAAUAAGCCUCGGCUAACUACGUGCCAGCAGCCGCGGUAAAACGUAGGAGGCGAGCGUUAUCCGGAUUUACUGGGCGUAAAGCGUGUGCAGGCGGUUUGAUAAGUUGGAUGUGAAAGCUCCUGGCUUAACCGGGAGAGGUCGUUCAAAACUAUCAGACUAGAGAGUGGUAGAGGGAGAUGGAAUUCCGCGUGUAGUGGUGAAAUGCGUAGAUAUGCGGAGGAACACCAGUGGCGAAAGCGGUCUCCUGGCCCAUUUCUGACGCUCAGACACGAAAGCUAAGGUAGCAAACGGGAUUAGAGACCCCGGUAUUAUUAGCUGUAAACGAUGUGAAAUUAGAGUCGGUGGGGUUAAAUCCAUCGGUACCGAAGCUAACGCGAUAAGUUCACCGCCUGGGGACUACGGCCGCAAGGUU